UUCGCCGGGGGGAUGUCAGCUGUUUGUACAGGUGUGGUUGCACCGACAAACCGGUCUGGAGCUCUCGGAAAGAUGUCCCGCUGCCGCAAUAAGUCCUAACCGGGCUCGCCAGAUGUUGCUGGCUGCUCCCGGCGGCGUGCAUCCACCUGCCAGAAAAGGUCCAUUGAUGGAAGAGGGAGUCUUUUUUGAGUUUUUUUGUUGACCGCCCGCUGCGCCCGAGGCCAGCCCCCUGGGGGCCAGCCGCUCGAGGGCCAGCGCCCGGCUCGAUGAGCGCUCUCCCCUUAGUACCCCCUUCUGAGGACCUCGUGACGGCGCCCUCUCGACAUGCCAGCCCCGCGGGGAGAUGCAGCUACCGUUCCGUAGGUGAACCUGCGGAAGGAUCAUUA
rnacentral:rRNA from 1 species